GAGGAAUAUUGCGCAAUGGAGGAAACUCUGACGCAGCCACGCCGCGUGCAGGAAGACACCCCUCAGGGGCGUAAACUGCUUUUGUAUGGGAAGAACACCCUCUUUCGGGAGGGUCUGACGGUACCAUACGAAUAAGGACCGGCUAACUCCGUGCCAGUAGCCGCGGUAAUACGGAGGGUCCAAGCGUUGUCCGGAAUCACUGGGUGUAAAGGGUGCGCAGGCGGGCGUGUAAGUCAGGGGUGAAAGCCACCGGCCUAACCGGUGAACUGCCCUUGAUACUGCACGUCUUGAAUCCAAGAGAGGCUAUCGGAAUUCGUGGUGUAGCGGUGAAAUGCGUAAAUAUCACGAGG
rnacentral:rRNA from 1 species